CAGAGGUCCCAAGCGUUGUUCGGAUUCACUGGGCGUAAAGGGUGCGUAGGUGGUGAGGUAAGUCGGAUGUGAAAGCUCCGAGCUCAACUCGGAAAUGGCAUUGGAAACUACCUUGCUCGAGGGUUUGAGGGGGGACUGGAAUACUUGGUGUAGCAGUGAAAUGCGUAGAUAUCAAGUAGAACACCAGUGGCGAAGGCGAGUCCCUGGAAAACUCCUGACACUGAGGCACGAAAGCUAGGGGAGCAAACAGGAUUAGAUACCCUGGUAGUCCUAGCCGUAAACGGUGCGUAUUUGCUGUAAAAGGAAUCGACCCCUUUUGUGGCGUAGCCAACGCGUUAAAUACGCCGCCUGGGAAGUACGGUCGCAAGAUUA
rnacentral:rRNA from 1 species